CACUAAUCAUCUGAGAGCUGCAAAUCAAAAUGACAACGAGGUACCAUCUCACACGGGUCAGAAUGGCUAUCAUCAACAAAUCAACAAACAACAAGUGCUGGCGGGGAUGUGGA